rnacentral:tRNA from 1 species
GAAGGGACAGCUCAGUGGUAGAGCACAUGCCUAGCAUGCAUGAGGUCCUGGGUUCAAUUCCCAGUACCUCCA